ensembl:snRNA Gm23435 predicted gene, 23435
AUCGUCAAUUUUUAUAGAGAGUUUAAGAUUCAUAAAAGUUUGUUUUCCCAGGGUGAGGCUUAUCCAUUGUACUCUGCAUGUGCUGACCCCUGUCAUUUCCCCAAAUGUAGGAAACUCAACUGUGUAAUGUGUGGUAGUGGAGGACUUCAUGUUCUCCC